GCGGGAAUAGCUCAGUUGGUAGAGCGCAACCUUGCCAAGGUUGAGGUCGCGAGUUCAAGCCUCGUUUCCCGCUCCA
rnacentral:tRNA from 3 species